UACCAAAUUUGAUAUUUCUCUCAUUUCUCUCAAAACAGAACCGCCUGUCUGACGGGGAAGAUCUCCACACACAGUCCGCCUUCGAUCACCGAGCUCCUUCACCGUCGAUCCAAGUCUCCAAUACGAUCAACAUCGUAUCAGAUACUGAUUUCCUGGACGAGCUUGUCAAGGCGGAGGAAACCGCUCUCGAUCUCUACCCCACCCGCCGCUUCUGCCUCCGCAGUCUCAGACUCCUCUCCCCCCUCCCCGCCGCCGUUGGAGCUCAAUUAUUCACCUCCUCGCGAAGUGUCUCAGAGAACUCCCCUGACCUUCCAUACGCGCACUGGCAUUCCCGAUUUUCAUGUCUCUUUUGCAAAGGAGCGCGAACUCAGUGCACUGCAGAAAGAGCUAAAUCGCGUUUUGAAGCAGCUGAGUCACCUGGAGCAGGAGUGUUCGGAGCUUAGAAAGGAAAAGGAAAAAAACACCCGGAGCAGCUGAAACUACUGAAUUCGAGGAUUGAUGCACAAGCUAAUCUCAGAAAGAGCAUGGAGAUGGAUGACCUCGUUUUUAACUCUUUGGAUCCUGGGAUACCUGAACUCCGUCAAAAUGUGAAACCAUAUAGUAAUAAACAGCCUGGUUCCUAUACAAAAUGUAGGUGAGCAUUUUCUCCAAGAUCAAACAACAGGAUGUGUUUUCUGCCUCAUGUAAUGUUCACUGUUAAAAAUUCUUCCUUUUCGUUUCUCAUCUUUUUUGGGGUGGUUUUCUAUUGUUGUUGUUGAUGAGCUUGUGAUACAGGAAGAGAUAAAACCAUACAAGAAACUUUUUGCCACUCCGAAAAGUUGUUUGGUGUGUUAAACUCAAAUGACCAAAAACAGGGAAGGGUUCUAGUUGCAAAGCUGUAUCAGACUUGUGAAAUGGAUUUUCAUUCGCUGUUUGGUUACCUGAACUCCCCUAUAAAUGGCUCAAACAUGGCCGCAUCCGAUCUUUGCUGUAUAGUUUCUCUUUCUACUGCGUCCCAGAAAAGUAAAGUAAUAAAUAAAAAAUUGAUAUGUCUCAGGUGUUAAUGCUCUUUUUUACUUUCUUUGAUUUCUUUAGUGUAUGUCCCAGGGUAAAUGUCACGGUGGAGGAAUCCAUCUCUAGAAAUGCUGAAUCUGGUACAAAUAGAUGUGGUGCGGAGGAAGAAGGUUUAAGCUUUGCAAAUAUAGCAGAGAUGUUGAAGCAGGGCCCAAUUCCAUCUGCACUCAAAUCGUAGAAUGAUAAAACCUCUGGUUUUAGUGGGUCUGCUAAUCAUAGUUGUGUAGCAUUUGUGUCUGCAGUCUGUCAAAUGUCCUUACUUGAACAUUUGUGCGCAAUUGCUACUAAAAGCAAUGAUGAACUAGUAAGACACGAGGCACUUUCAGUCAUGAUUCUGAUUCUUAUGAGACAUAAUGCCUAUUUGGAGAGAGACAAGUUGCUCGGUACAAUCAUUUUGUUGUUUAUAUGAUAUUCUGAAUAGAGGCCUCUGGAAACAGGUUUGCUGGGGAAUUAGUGGUUCAUACUUUAUCUCAAUCAUUGAGGAAGGAAGCUGGAUUCUCUGUACAAGACCAAGCAGUUCAUGCUCUUUAUUUGCUAUGUAAUUGUGAGUUUCAAUAUACUGUUUUGGCUGAAUAGAAAAUUGUGACCGGGUAAAUAAAUUUGAUUUUCUAAACAGAGAAUUUCUUUGUAGUUUCUUUGAGCAUUCUGUGUUUAUUUUAUGUAUUGCAAAGGAUUUUCUGGACUUAAUAGUUAAUACUACUCUUCACAUAAUUAUGACUCAAGAUAUCGCCAAACCUAUAUACUUAUUCACACAUGUAGUACUUUAUAUAGGAGAUAUUUAUGAAUCCUACUCAUCUCUGAAGCACUAUAUUCAUUUGGUUUAUUUGUCUCAAUGUACAACUCCUGGAAUCAGAGCUUGUAUUGGUAAAUUGUUUCUCUUGCGGUGUUUUUAUAGGCCCAAAAGUUGUAGCUAUGAUCUCUUCUUGCUUAAAAGAGGAUGGAGACCUGACAUACACUAAUAAUAUUAAGGGCAAGUAUUAAGUGUGAAAUGAGAUCUUAAUUGGCUUGGCACAUUGUGUAGCUUGCUGUGGGAGUGCUACUGCUGAAGUAAGCCUGAUUUUUGAGAAAUAUACAAUUCUAAAGCUGCACGAUAAGAAACUAAAUUAUUGGAUAUGCCGCUGCUCACCUGGUUAUCGUCUGACCAGUCAUUUGACUCCACUUGGAACAGUGCCGGUUAUGUUUAUUUGAGGUUUGAAAGUGUGGAAGCUGCAUCACAGGCUCAACAGGCAAUGCACAAGAGAUGGUUUGCUUGCAGAUUGAUUUUGGCCAUAUUCUUGGUAGUUUUCUGCAACGAAUUACCGUCUUUCUCCUUGAAUGUGUGAUUAUAUAUGCUGCUCCACUACUGUGAUCCUAGUGACAGUAGUUUUCUGGGGUUUAUUUUUGGAAUAUGAUUCUUAAUGUGCACUCUGAUAUUAUAAUGUUGUUAUUGGUCUAAUUGUUAAGGUUCUUGUAAUUUUUGAUGCAGCAACCUUAUGAAUACGAUGCCAAAUUCAAAGGUGCUCCCUGAUCAAGUAUACUGGUGAAAUUGCGACUUGUGUUUAACGUCCGGGUCCCCAUCCUCGAAACUAAACCAUGUUGAAUUUGAUUAUGCUAGGCUUAGUUCUAAGCGUUCCAGAUGUCUUAAAUUUUGCUCAUUCAUUUGUUAUAUAUUUUUUUUCUAUUUUUUCUUUCACUUCUGCCUGCAAGUCUGCAACCCUUAUAACUCAAAAUAUUAAUGUUUGUAAUAUUAAAAAAAUCCUUAUAACCCAAUAAUAUUGGGGAAUAAGCUGAUCGUAUAAACACACACUUGAAAUUUGAAUUGAUUAGUGAGUCUAUUUGGGGAAAGGAAUUAGAAAGAGGUGUUUUACAUCUAGGGUUGCCAUCUGAUUAUGGGUAAUUUCUACCUACUGUAAAGUGUAAAUCCUCUGUAUGCAAUGGUCAUCUGAGAGUGAGUUAUUUUUGUUAGUGGUUUAAUUAUAGUUACAUUUUUUGUGCUCUAGCUAAAUCUUAUUCUUUAUCAAUCUGUUAUCGUUCCCAAACGGAAUUGCGAAUCGGUGGAAAAUAGAAUAAGAGAUUUUUAUUCUUUAUCAAUUUUCCGAGUGCCAAACGGAAUUGCUUGUUUGAUGAAUCGAUGGAAAAUAGAAUAAGAGAUUUUUUUAUAGGAUGAAAGAGCUGCUCUGUCUGGUGGGAAGUGGUCACAAAAUAGCAAUUUGGUGUUGAGUUAUUGAAGUAAUCAUGGCUAAUAAUGCGAUGCAGGAGAGCCCUUCUUUUUGUUGGCUAUUAAUAGACUUGUAUUUGGAUUUUGUUAGCAUGCAUAUGUUGACAAGUAGGGGACUUACUGAUUUUACACUUGUUUUGAAAAUGAUUGACAGACAAAGGUGGUACUUUGUUGACCCUAUGAUUUUAUUGAACAUGAUAAUUGAAAAAGAGAGGAAUUCUUGUCACAUAUGAUGUGUUUUUUAAUCUCUGAAGAGUCGAGUACAAUUUGAGCAAUUGUUUUAGGUGUUAAUUCCUUUUGUCAGGUCUCAAUUGUUGCAUAUAAAUCUAAUCCUAGUAUUGACCUGCACAUGUUGUUACUGAAGUAGCCAUUGUUGCGCUGGAAAUCUAAUUGUACUUGGUUUACUUACAGGAACAGCGCCGGUCAUAUUUAUUUGAGGUUUGAAAGUGUGGAAGCUGCAUCACGUGCUCAACAGGCAAUGCACAAGAGAUGGUUUGCUCGCAGAUUGAUUUUGGCUAUAUUCUUGCACAGCAACCUUAUGAAUACGAUGCCAAAUUCAAAGGUGCUCCCUGAUCUCAAGUCUACUGGUGAAAUUGCGACUUGUGUUUCACGUCCGGGUCCCCAUCCUCGAACAACACCAUGUUGAAUUUGAUUAUGCUAGGCUUAGUUCUAAGCGUUCCAGAUGAUGAUUGCCGUUGCAGUUCUAAUGCGUAUUAUGAAUUGAGCCACCAUUGUUUGUUUUGUGAAGGCAGCAGCUUCGACUACUAAUUCCGUUGUUCAGCUGGUUUUUGCUACAAAUUUUGUUUCAUUAGAUGAAGAAAUUAUUGAGGAUCUGUUUAUAUGAAAGUUUAUUUUAUACUGGGUACUAAAUAAAAUAGUCUAGUAAUGUUGAAUUAAUAUGAAGUACUCCUCAAAUGUGUUUGAACACUAUGUAGAGCAUGGAGUAAAGUGGGGCCCACUAACUCAUGCAGGAGUCUCAUGUUCGAUUUCCUAAAAUACUAAGCUACCAAAAUUGGUAGUCUACACUGCAAGAAUAUAUCUCAUGUUCAGAGAUUGGAGAGAGAGAGAGAGAUUUCAGAAGUCAAAUGCUUUCAUCUUCCUCUAUGCAUCCGAGUUCUUCAUCAGCCGAAACCGACUUCAUGGCAAGCUCGGAGGAGACAAGGUUGAACAUACCUGAGAUCACGGAGGAGCAGGAAGAAAAGGAGGGGCUGGAAAAUCUGAUAGACGAGGCUGACACUGAGGUCAGCAAGAGAUUGGUCGAUAUUUUUCUUCUCAUGUCCACCGUCGUUGCAGGUUCUUGCUAUGCUGCCAUGCUCACCCUCAGCAGCGACAACUUUGGCAGCCUAAGUGAUCUUACUACAUUGGCGUACCUUUUCUUUGUCUUCUGGAACCUCGUGGGCGUGUUUUGUGCGAUCCUGACUGUAGUUAGCAUCAUAUGGUCGUAUUUUUUUGAGAAGAGGUCAGCCAAACGUGCCUUGGAGACUUGGGCAAAAAUUUUCACGGGUGCCAUGAUGUCUAUGACUGCCGCUCUCACCAGUGGAGCUGUGGUAGUGGUUAAGAAAUCCGAGACGAUCCGAACAGGUGUGCUUAUUCUUGGAUUGUUUUUCACCGUCAUGGUGUAUCGUUUGGGGAUUCCUCUGGUGGUGAACGCUAGAUGGCGUCAGAUAAUGGGUGGUCGUGCCCACGAUCGUUGAUAACGGCUGCCUUGGUGAUCGAGGGGUUGAUUGUAUUUCUUCACUUCGAAUAUGAAAAUGCUUGAUCUCCAUAACUGUUGCAUUCCUUUUGCUCUGAAACAGGGAUUUUAGUGAAUGUGUGUAUAAGAUAUUGCGAUUUAGGUUUAAUCUAUGACCUUUCUGGAA